rnacentral:tRNA from 1 species
GCACCCGUAGCUCAAUCGGAUAGAGCAUCAGUCUUCGGAACUGAGGGUUAGAGGUUCGAGUCCUCUCGGGUGCG